CAAAUCCUCUUUAAUUUCUGCAUUUUUUAAGAACGUCUAAAGUCAAAACCGAAAGGUUUGACUUCCAAAAUUUAUUCCUCUCUUGCAUUUUCAGUUUAGCUCUUGUUUAUACUUCUCAUCAUAACAAAGCAUCAUUUCUGGAUUCUUUUAACUUUAUGCAUGGUCUUGACCAUUAUAACCUUCUAACUCUAACAAUACUUCCAACCCUUUACCAAACCAAAACACCAAUUUUGGUAGUUCUUAUGUUACGGUUGGGACUUGUGUACCUACAUGACCUAACAACUUACAUUUAUGUCUUUAAUCCAUUCUUCAUGUUUAUGCAUUAUUUGACCCGUUUAGGACAAAAUCGCCAAAAACAAACCAAGACUCCAAACUAGCCAAAUGUUUGGAUGCUUUGUUAAGGUAUAACAGAGUUUAAGGAGCAUUUCGGGAGCUUUACGGGACAUUGGGAUGAGGCUAGGCCAAUGGGGAGCAAAAACGAGGGAAACGGGCAAAAAAAUCAGCUCGCCGCGUCGGCGACGACCAAUGGCCACCGCCGACGCAUCUUGCGUCGGUAGAAACCUACAUAGACAUAAAUAAUCAACAUUAACACACACAUUGCGUCACCGAUGGGCGACAUAAAUUCUUACGUCGACUUCCCCCUUUUGACUUGUUUGACCGAGAUUUUUUUGAUAUAUUACGAGUUUUGAACGUGAAUUGAAGUUACAACUUGUUCUUGGGGCCAAAACACUUUGCAAAACACACAUACAAUCAUCAACUAUCAUCAUCAUUGAUCCAAUCAACCCAAAUUUAUUGCACUUUUUGCAACUUUAGUUCUUCGACUUUGUUUCAAUCCUCAUUUUGACAAUUUUGGUCCCUCUCCUUCCACAAAUCGGAAUUAUACGGAGAGUUUGAACACGUGCCGCUUCAUAAUUCGAUGAAAAUAUCCAGGAUGUUACACUGAAUUAGGGCUAAAGGACAUAAGUGCAAGAGUUUGGAAAUAUCGAGUACGUUUUUUGUACUUUUUGAAGACAAAUAACACACUUUGCAAUCUAGUUUCAACA